GGAGUUCUAGUUUAUUUAAAACAUACGCUUGUCGAGCGUAAAAUAUCAAAUGAUGUUCUCUU
rnacentral:tRNA from 1 species